AUGGGAUGGAGAGAUUCGGAGGAAGGUUCGAUGGAGGAAGAGGGAGAUUCAGUCGAGGUGAAAGAGAUGGGUGGCAGUACACAAGGAAAGAGUAGGGAGAGAAUCAUCACAGAAACCUGCCGCCAUGGGAGGGCAGGAGAGAGUUUGCUAGAGGGAGAGAGAUUGGAAGAAAUCAAGAGAGACAGGAGAAUAAGCAGGACACAGUCGCUGGAGGAGGGGGUGAGGUUGAAGAAGCAGCUAAAACCAAGGUCAAAGGCAAGGAUGAGGACUCUAGAACUGAGCGGGAGGGUGCCCCUGGAUCCUUGGAAAGAAGUGGACAAGAUUCUCACUGGUAGUGAGGCAAGCACCAGGUACUUCUCAAUGCUCUAUUAG
rnacentral:rRNA from 1 species